ensembl:lncRNA
CGUGAUGUAACUCUCUGGCAGGGAUGUCAAUGUAUUUGUAGCUUCGCUAAGCCUGGAGCUGAGAGAGCUAAUGAUUGCCUCAACUUCUGGUAAAGUGCAGUUCUAAGGGCAUUUUCAGCCUUCACUUCUUCCUACCCUCCCUUUUAAAAGAUUUCAAAACCAAGCCUUUAAUUUUCAGCAAGACCUUUUCAUGUGACCUUUAGAACAUAGCAAGGGUUAUUUUAACAGUAAAUCAACACAAGGUAGCGGGGUCCUUGGGCUGAAUUCUGGGGAUGUGUUCUCACAGUGAGAGCUGAGGUAUCCAUCACAGCGAGGAUGUCACCACUGUCCCACAGAUCUACCCGUAAGACUUCCCAGUGUUCUGGGGGGGUUGUAGCAGCUCGUGACAAAUGGGAAUGGGAAGCCCUCUUCACUUCUACAGUUGUGGCAUGGAGUACUUUUAUGACAAAGAUCACUGGCAGCAGAGGAGCAGUCUGACAGAGUGGUGUCUGACAUGGAAGUGCAUGUGAAGCAACAGAGGGCCACUGAAUUCCUCCAUGCGGACAAAAAUGGCACCCAUUGGUAUUCAUCAACGUUUGCUGAACACUUAUGGUGACCAAACAGUGGAUAUCAGCACAGUGAGGUGGCGGUGGUGCGUUUCAGCGGUGGUGACAGUGUUGUGAAAGACAAGCCAUGUUCCGGAUGGCCAUGUACAACUGUCACAACAUGAAAUAAACAGCAUCUCAAUCAGAUCGUCCAUAUGAAUCAGCUACUGGUGGUGACUAUGUUGAAAAACAGUGUUUUGUAGCUGGGAAUUUAUUCUAUCAAAUAGUGUUAUUGUGCUCUUUGUUGUAGUUUCCAUUGAAAUAAAUAGGAGGCGUUGCUUUUGGAGCAACCUAUUUAUAUGAACAUACAAGAGGGUUUGGAUGGUGAUGGUGGUGUUGACUAACAGAAGGGAUUUUCUUUCUCUGAAAGAACAAGAUUAAAAAAUUGGAGCAAAUCUGCCUCCUUUACCUCAGAUCAGAAAAGAAUGGAAAACAGCAGGGUGGCCAAGGAUUUGUCCUGUAAAUGCUUAAGAUCUGUAUUGUUAGGAGCUGGUAUGUCCUUUUGGAGAAGAACACCCUUAGAAGGAGAUUUUUUAAAGGAUUUUUUUCCCCAUCUCUCUUCCCCCCCCCCCCCCCACUACAAGAAGGGCAGAUGUAGACAUCCUGACAUAAAAUAACUUUAUAUCAGAAUAAGUCAUAUUAUCUAAUAUUGGAAACACCAUGCUGCUAUUAGCACUAUGCCUACAUGAUAAGGAAAGUGAGCCACUUCAUUUUUAUUGACCCUGCUAAAAUUGUACAGCUUUGUGAGGCUUUUGAUGGUAGCGAUUCAUUUCAUAAAAUCUAUGCCUACACAAACCAACCAUUUCAUCUCCACUGUGUUUUCUCAUUUCUAAUGCUUCUUGUAUUAACAAACACUGCUGAUGUGUGGGAGGUUCAAGAUGCUCAAACACAGAGAAGCACUCUGUGUAACUUCAGGGAAAAGGG